UACGUAGGGCGCAAGCGUUGUCCGGAAUUAUUGGGCGUAAAGAGCUUGUAGGCGGUUUGUCGCGUCUGCCGUGAAAAUCCGGGGCUCAACCCCGGACUUGCGGUGGGUACGGGCAGACUAGAGUGUGGUAGGGGAGACUGGAAUUCCUGGUGUAGCGGUGAAAUGCGCAGAUAUCAGGAGGAACACCGAUGGCGAAGGCAGGUCGCUGGGCCACUACUGACGCUGAGAAGCGAAAGCCAGGGGAGCAAACGGG
rnacentral:rRNA from 1 species